rnacentral:rRNA from 1 species
UACGUAGGGUGCAAGCGUUGUCCGGAAUUAUUGGGCGUAAAGAGCUCGUAGGCGGUCUGUCGCGUCUGCUGUGAAAACUCAGGGCUUAACCCUGAGCUUGCAGUGGGUACGGGCAGACUAGAGUGCGGUAGGGGAGACUGGAAUUCCUGGUGUAGCGGUGAAAUGCGCAGAUAUCAGGAGGAACACCGGUGGCGAAGGCGGGUCUCUGGAACAUUUCUGAC